rnacentral:lncRNA from 1 species
GUCUCUUCCGGGGGGGAAAUAUUAUCGAGGACUGAUUCAUGAACAGCAAGUGAACGAUUGAGCCUACAUCCGACCGACCCUCCUUACUACACACUAUAAAGAAUAUCCCAGCUCUCGAGACCUGGCGAGGAGAGAAGAAGGAGAUCGCUUAUCAGAAUUGUACAAAUUAGUUUACAGAACGAAUGUGUUUGUGAAAUUUCGACAAUGGAAACCUUAAUAUUAUACACAACAGAUUUUUGACAGUUCUCUCUUCUGGAUCAAUUUAAAGUUGAACACAAAAGGCAGAUUCGCUCCCUUGAACCGGGGUGCACCCCUGUCAAUAAAAUCCAAUUGACCGAGGUUG